GAACUAAGGUACUUGGACUUCAGCUACGUUAUUCACGUUCUGAUUCCACUUCUUCACUCUGAUUUCCCAAGACCCACUUUGAUUUUGGGGGGAAUUCAGGCAGCAAGAGGUAUCUGUAUAGAUAUCAUUUACCUCCACUGUGUUUCCUAACUCCAUCAGCUCCUGCACAAUUUGAACAGGGGUGCACCUGUUGAACUUAGCUAUUAGGAUUCCCGUUAUUGCAGCUGUCCUUGAAAGUGCUCGUAAAUGGGGUUUCAACAGUGGAGAGAUGAAAGAAUCCAGAGGAACUCAGAUGCACAGUAGAGCAUGGGGUCCAUUUUUUUGGGUCUAUUUGAGAAUAUUUGACACAUAUAUAUUAAUUUUCCACUAGAAUGUUUACCAUUUUCUGCUAUACAAAUCUUUAUUGUUACUACAACAGAAGACUCGGGCUGUGAUGUCUAACAUGUGUCUUGUGUUAAAGCCACUAACAGGUACAUUUUUAGUGAUUAAGACUGGAAGAACUUCGAGGAGGGGGAGGGAAGCAAAGACACUAGUUGGAUGUUUCUGUGUACUCUAGUUUCCAUAGCCAUCUAUCAAGCAAAAUGGUGGUAAACUCUAUUGACCGUUGAUAAUCUGAGUCAAAUGUUACUAGACAUAGGAAACUAGGAAAGCAACUCUAGCUUUGUGCACAUAGUUUAAUGUUACAAUGUAAGCCAAAGUUUUCCUUUUAAAAUAUAUUCUAGUACAUCCAUCUUAGUGAUAAUUGUACUGUAUAGAAAUCAGGGUAGAGCAAUGUAGUAAACAGCAAGGGCCUAAUCCUUUAAAAACAAUUGACAUUCUAUUUUCUAGGUGUGAAUUGGUUGAGUGGGUUGGAGUGUGCACUGCCUGAGCAUUUGAUCUGAAAGACAAUUGAAGUGUUGUAUUGACAUUCUACAGCUUGGAGGCACCAUUUAGGCAAAUGUGGGUGUAAGGGGUCGGACUCACCCCUGCGGCACCUCCUGCUGGUCGUCCAGGGAAUUAGCUCACCAGCCUCUGGAGCGCCCUCUGCAGGCCGGUGAUCCGCCUUGUCGUCUGCACUGGCCCCCGUGUCCCUCCCAGGACCCCGGUGCCCCUUGCUCUGGGUGCUACCCCCUGGCAGUACCCACACUUACUGGGUCUCCCCGCCCAGGGGAACCCCCCACUAACCACACCUCACCUCAGAAUAAGGCUAUUGCCAGUUGCCAUCUAGCCCCACACCCAGGGGCAGACUGCAGUAUCAGCCACUCAUCACAGGCAAGUUUGGGUUUGGACCUGCUGCCUCUGCCUACCCAGGACUGUCCCUUUGCAACCCCAGUACCUACCUGGCCUUACUCUAGGCCCGCAGCCUGGAGGGUUCCCAGGCCAGAGCUCCCCAGCUCCAUUAGCCUUCCUCCAGCCCUGCUUUCCUCAGGUACCUCUCAACUCCAGGCAGCCAGGCCCUUCUCUCUCUAAAGCAGAGAGAGAACUGUCUGGGCUUCUGGCUGCCCUGUCCUUUAUAGGACCAGCUGAGCCUGACUUCCCACUCAGCCAGGGAGCUGUUUGCCCCAGCCACAGCCCCCUGCCAGGGCUGUUUUUAACCCCUCUGGACCGGAGUGGGGUGACCACCCCGCUACAGUGGGGUUGUAUCUCAAAAUCAAACAUUGGCAUGGAAUUUGUUUGAGAUGUUAGUCAAUUAAAUAGCUAUUCCCUCCCUACCACCUAUUUUAUUUGAGGAAAUACCACAUUUCACACUCCUGUUAUUUCUUCUGUCCAUAACAUCUUCCUGUUAUCUUCCAUUCUCCAAGCUGGUGCAAGAUUUUUAACUCCAUGGGUCUUGGUAGAGUCACUCAUGAUUUACAAUAGUGUGAAAGAAUAAUGACAUCCAUUAAUUGUUGUCUGGGAAAACAUUUUCCAUUUAAAAUAGUAAUGUACAAACUUUUAUGAGAUCUAUUAUUUUAGGAAACUGGUUGGUAUAAAUAAAACUAUAUAUAGUACUUUUUGUGGUAUUUCCACAAGUAAUGUAUCUCAUUUUUAUUAACCGAGUUAACCAUUGUAUAAAUGUGAUUAACUUAUAUGUAAGUAACAGCUUGAGCUUUAACUAAGAUUAACUGAUCCAAGCUAUCUUCUUUGCCAAUUUUUUUAUUUUAAUCUCAAAGAACAAAGACUUUGUAUAGAAACAUGUGGAAUGUGUUAUGAAGUGUGCAAAAAUCCUUUCCAGAUAAUGUUUUUAAUUAUAUUUUUGAAAACUAUGAUUAAGUCUACCAUUGAAAUAUUUUCAGUAGUAGUCGACAGAAUACCUUUUGCUUGGCAGCAUGCAUGUAUUAUAAAAUACUUAAAAUGGCAAGAUCCCUUUCAGAACUAAAAUUGCCAUUUUAAUUACUUUUUUUGUAAUUAGCAGCUUGAAAUUUUUUCCAUUAAAAGAAGAGAGAAAAGAACUAAAUGCACAUAUAAUCGUAUCCAAAUCUUUGGAUUUUUAACCAAAGGAUGUAAAGGGUGUGUAUGUGUACGUGCAUGUUCAUUCAGCGUGCUGAGUUCUUUGAUUUGGGCCAGAUUCUGUUCUAAUUUCUUCCCUUGCAACCUCACUGACCUCACUAGAAGUGCAUAAGAGGAACUGAGGACCAAGCAGAGGCCCUGCCAGCCUUGGGAUCAGAACCACAAUAGCUAGAAUUGUGAUAAAACAGGGAUAUUUCCAGCAGAAUUCUGGCAUUUUUCCCCUUAGAGCAUUGAUAGGAUGGUUUAGCUAGCACAAAUCGCAGGGGGGAAAAUCCUUAUCAUUGCCACCGUGGUAUUCUAUAGACUACUGCAUUCAAAACAAAUAAAAAAAACUGUUAAAAAGAGUGUUUAAAAUUGCAAAGUCAACACUCAAAAGUUAGGAAAUGCAAGAAAUAAUGUUGCCUGUGCAACCUUUAUUAUACCCAAGCUAUCAUAAAGGCUUUAAUUACCUGUGUCAUAACUAUAAAGGGAAGGAUAACCACCUUUCUGUAUACAGUCCUAUAAAAUCCCUCCUGGCCAGAGGCACAAAAUUUUUUUACCUGUAAAGGGUUAAGAAGCUCAUGUAACCUUGCUGGCACCUGACCAAAAGGACCAAUAAGGGGACAAGAUACUUUCAAAUCUGGGGAGGGGGAAAAGGCUUUGUUUUGUCUGUUCUGUGUGCUUGCCGGAGACAGAUCAAGAAAGCAAGCAAUCUAACUCCAUUAGUAUUAGUAAGUACUAGCGAAGGAAUGCGUUAACUUACUUUUAUUUUGGCUUGUGAUUUCCUUUGUAGGAGGAGGGAGGUUUAUCCUGGAUUUGUACUUUAAGGUUUUGCCUAGAGGGGAGAUCCUCUAUGUUCUUGAGUCUUUUGUUAUUCUGUAAAGUACUUACCAUCCCGAUUUUACAGAGGCACUCGUCUCAUUUUGAUUUGGGAUAAGAUUGUAUGGUAAACCACUGUGGGGAGUUGCUAUGCUGACUGGUGAAGAAAGCUCUGGCAAAGGAAGUUUUGUUGGGAUUCUUAUAUACCAGUUAACGUGGCUGGACUACACUUCCUGUCAUCUAGCAAGUGGACCAGAAGAUACUUACCUGACAUUUUCAAAGAGAGCCACAUAAUUCCCACUGACCACAGAAAGUUGAAAAAUUCCUCUUUCUAAAUGUGGAGGUUAUGAUUCAAGUUAAUUUUAACAUUCAAAUGAGGAGUUGAGGCCUUUGAGGUAUGCCCAUCACUGAUCAAUACCCUUACUGGUAGGAGAAAAUAAAUGUGAUCAGGAGUUUGUUGCAAAAAAUCUUAAAACACAAAAAACAAGGUCAUUUAGUACAUGACUCAGGGACCAACACAGGAUAUCGAAAUACAGUUCUGUAUUAUCCAUUGUUUUGCCCAGUCUCAUUGUAAUUGCCCCAAGUAUGUGGUUUCCACCAUUUCACUUGAAAUCUACUAGAUCUUAGGUACGAAUUUUUCGUCCUUUUCACCAACACCACCAAAGAAAAAAGGCUUGUUUUUAUUCUACCAUCUCCCACCCUCCAAUGUUAGCCUACAACAAUACAAUUAAAAGCAAUCCUGUUAGCACUCUU